rnacentral:rRNA from 1 species
AUGCUGACAAUACAGAGCAUCCUGCCUGCCCCUGCCAUACCAAAACCAGACGUGUUGGCUCAUUUGCUAAAAACUACACGUAAUGUCUUUAGGCUGUCGAAAUCAGUGGUAGAUGCACUUAUGCUAUUUUGUAGAAAUAUAUGGAGUUUGCAUGUUACAAUUCAGAAUCUAGCUUUCUCUGCGUAUUUGAACACAAACAACUCGCAGCCAAGUUUAGCUCUUCGGUCCAUGAAAUAUGCUGUCAUUGCUCCAUUUUUAGCUGGCCGAACUGGCAAAAAUCCGUUUUUAGACACAAAAGCACCUUGUCUUAAUGGAAUCCGUACCAACAAGGUUGCCGGAGUUUCCAUCUUGCAAUUUCGAUUGCAUAACUGCGGGGAUUAG